GCAAUUGUGAUGAAAUGAAACAAUAGAAGGGCAUGCCGUUCUAUUAGAGUUUUUACGGUGAAAUCAUACUUCAAGGGAGCAGGGCUAGAAUUUU
rnacentral:snoRNA from 16 species